rnacentral:rRNA from 1 species
GACGAACGCUGGCGGCGUGCUUAACACAUGCAAGUCGAGCGAUGAAGCCGGAGCUUGCUCUGGUGAAUUAGUGGCGAACGGGUGAGUAACACGUGAGUAACCUGCCCUUGACUCUGGGAUAACUGCGGGAAACUGUAGCUAAUACCGGAUACGACCCUCGGAGGCAUCUCCUGGGGGUGGAAAGAAUUUCGGUCAAGGAUGGACUCGCGGCCUAUCAGCUAGUUGGUGAGGUAAAGGCUCACCAAGGCGACGACGGGUAGCCGGCCUGAGAGGGUGACCGGCCACACUGGGACUGAGACACGGCCCGGACGCCUACGGGAGGCAGCAGUGGGGAAUAUUGCACAAUGGGCGCAAGCCUGAUGCAGCAACGCCGCGUGAGGGAUGACGGCCUUCGGGUUGUAAACCUCUUUUAGUAGGGAAGAAGCGGAAGUGACGGUACCUGCAGAAAAAGCACCGGCUAACUACGUGCCAGCAGCCGCAGUAA